rnacentral:ncRNA from 1 species
AAGCGAGGACGGCCUCCCCCUUCACCGGGUUAAGUCCGCCCGGGACGGCCCGG